rnacentral:rRNA from 1 species
UACGGGGGGAGCAAGCGUUGUUCGGAUUUACUGGGCGUAAAGAGCGCGCAGGCGGUCGUUCAAGUCGCGUGUGAAAGCCCCCGGCUCAACUGGGGAGGGUCACGCGAUACUGAUCGACUGGAAGGCAGGAGAGGGUAGUGGAAUUCCAGGUGUAGCGGUGAAAUGCGUAGAUAUCUGGAGGAACACCGGUGGCGAAGGCGGCAUCCUGGACCGGUAUUGACGCUGAGGCGCGAAAGCUAGGGGAGCAAACGGG